UCUUGGCUGCCCCUUUGUUCAGAGGCAGAGGUGGGGGGCUGUUGUCCUGGCAACCAGCCCCUUCCCCCUCAGACAAUCCCUUGAGAUUUUGCAGAAGAGAAAACCAAGGUCCGGAGAGCCUGUAUUUGGACCCUCAGCCCUUCCCAGGGGUGAGAGCAGAGCCACUUGGGAGCCCGCUGCAGCAAUCAUCCAGCACAGAUCACCUUUCCUGGGCAGCUCCCGUUCGAGCACUCCUCUCCAAGCAGCUGGCAAAAAGGGGAGAACAAGAUUCCUGUGAAUGUGCUCCCGGCCCACGCAGGAGGCUUGCACGAAGUAGAAGACGUGGCCGAUUUUGCUGGUGAAGGUAGAAGGAAG